GAUGAACGCUGGCGGCGUGCCUAAUACAUGCAAGUCGAGCGAACAGACGAGGAGCUUGCUCCUCUGACGUUAGCGGCGGACGGGUGAGUAACACGUGGAUAACCUACCUAUAAGACUGGGAUAACUUCGGGAAACCGGAGCUAAUACCGGAUAACAUUUUGAACCGCAUGGUUCAACAGUGAAAGACGGUUUUGCUGUCACUUAUAGAUGGAUCCGCGUCGCAUUAGCUAGUUGGUAAGGUAACGGCUUACCAAGGCAACGAUGCGUAGCCGACCUGAGAGGGUGAUCGGCCACACUGGAACUGAGACACGGUCCAGACUCCUACGGGAGGCAGCAGUAGGGAAUCUUCCGCAAUGGGCGAAAGCCUGACGGAGCAACGCCGCGUGAGUGAAGAAGGUCUUCGGAUCGUAAAACUCUGUUAUUAGGGAAGAACAAAUGUGUAAGUAACUGUGCACGUCUUGACGGUACCUAAUCAGAAAGCCACGGCUAACUACGUG
rnacentral:rRNA from 1 species